rnacentral:rRNA from 1 species
AUUGAACGCUGGCGGCAUGCUUUACACAUGCAAGUCGAACGGUAACAGGCCGCAAGGUGCUGACGAGUGGCGAACGGGUGAGUAAUGCAUCGGAACGUGCCCAGUCGUGGGGGAUAACGCAGCGAAAGCUGCGCUAAUACCGCAUACGAUCUAUGGAUGAAAGCGGGGGACCGUAAGGCCUCGCGCGAUUGGAGCGGCCGAUGUCAGAUUAGGUAGUUGGUGGGGUAAAGGCUCACCAAGCCAACGAUCUGUAGCUGGUCUGAGCGGACGACCAGCCACACUGGGACUGAGACACGGCCCAGACGCCUACGGGAGGCAGCAGUGGGGAAUUUUGGACAAUGGGCGCAAGCCUGAUCCAGCAAUGCCGCGUGCAGGAAGAAGGCCUUCGGGUUGUAAACUGCUUUUGUACGGAACGAAACGGCUCUGGUUAAUACCUGGGGCUAAUGACGGUACCGUAAGAAUAAGCACCGGCUAACUACGUGCCAGCAGCCGCCGUAACAC